UUUCAUCUAGUUUCACCAAGAAAAUGGUGAACUAAACCCUAUUGUUGUUGGGGGAAAUAAUGUAAUCUUUUGAUACUCUCUUUUAUUGAAACUCUUGAUUAUUUAUAUGGUUUCCAUAUGUUUUGAUUGUUAAUUGUUGGGUUUUCAUCUGUGCUUAAUUCCUUUAUCGUUUAACUCAUUCGAUAACUGAUGUUUGUCUUU
rnacentral:lncRNA from 1 species